AUGGUUAGUCUGUCUUUUCGCGCGUGGUAUUUCAGUUGGGUGGAUCGCUUCAUAGGCUGUUCUGCAGGAUUCAACACGUCGUUUUCAUAUAUUUUGUGGUCUCUGGUGUGGGGCAGCCGUGUCUUUUUGCUUGCAGUAUCGACACUGUCUCAUAUGUGCAUUGUUCUUGUUGGCAAAUUGGUCAUAGCGCAGUUGAAGUCUCCGGAUCUAGCAAAGAGGUUUGGGAACUGGUUUUGCAGAGGUGCAGGACUGCCUGUUUCGAUUUCGGUUGGUAGGUGCUAUGUUUCCUGUUUUGGGGCAUGA